UGUAACGGGGCUAAACCAUGCACCGAAGCUGCGGCAGCGACGCUUAUGCGUUGUUGGGUAGGGGAGCGUUCUGUAAGCCUGCGAAGGUGGCCUGUGAGGGUUGCUGGAGGUAUCAGAAGUGCGAAUGCUGACAUAAGUAACGAUAAAGCGGGUGAAAAGCCCGCUCGCCGGAAGACCAAGGGUUCCUGUCCAACGUUAAUCGGGGCAGGGUGAGUCGACCCCUAAGGCGAGGCCGAAAGGCGUAGUCGAUGGGAAACGGGUUAAUAUUCCCGUACUUGGUGUUACUGCGAAGGGGGGACGGAGAAGGCUAUGUUGGCCGGGCGACGGUUGUCCCGGUUUAAGCGUGUAGGUGUGUGUUCCAGGUAAAUCCGGUUCACUUUAACACUGAGGCGUGACGACGAGGCACUACGGUGCUGAAGCAACAAAUGCCCUGCUUCCAGGAAAAGCCUCUAAGCAUCAGGUAACAUCAAAUCGUACCCCAAACCGACACAGGUGGUCAGGUAGAGAAUACCAAGGCGCUUGAGAGAACUCGGGUGAAGGAACUAGGCAAAAUGGUGCCGUAACUUCGGGAGAAGGCACGCUGACAC
rnacentral:rRNA from 1 species